GCGUUGUCCGGAAUCAUUGGGCGUAAAGCGCGCGUAGGCGGCCCUGUAAGUCCGUUGUGAAAGUCAAAGGCUCAACCUUUGAAUGCCGAUGGAUACUGCAGGGCUAGAGUCCGGAAGAGGCGAGUGGAAUUCCUGGUGUAGCGGUGGAAUGCGCAGAUAUCAGGAGGAACACCAAUAGCGAAGGCAGCUCGCUGGGACGGUACUGACGCUAAGGCGCGAAAGCGUGGGGAGCGAACAGG
rnacentral:rRNA from 1 species